rnacentral:lncRNA from 1 species
AUGCCUGACAGCAUUGAGUUCACAGAUAGUUCCAUAUUCAGGGGACAGAAUCAGGAGGCAAUGGUGAGUCAAGACAGAGGGCUGGUAAGCACUGACUUCCAAAGUUCAGAGGGCGACGGAACUCAUUGUAAAUGACUACGAGAAGAGGCUGCUGGACACAUUUCACCAAGUAAGGCCAAGCAAGGGAGAACAUUUGUUAGCUAAAUUCCUUUUCCUAAUGACACAUGUUCUAAAGCAAUCAAUAACUCUCCUAGAGCUGCUAUUUCCCAAGUGCUAU